ACGGUAAAACGAGGGCUUAGCUGUCUCCUUUUUCAUGUCAAUGAAAUUGAUCUUCCCGUGCAAAAGCGGGAAUUACUUCAUAAGACGAGAAGACCCUGUGAAGCUUUAGACACCAAGACAGAUCUGGUUAAGACCCCCUAAUAAAGAAUUAAACUGCUAAACCCUGUCUUACGUCUUCGGUUGGGGUGACCGCGGGGAAUUACAUAACCCCCGCGUGGAAUAGGAGCAUAAAAUUAAUUUUGUUCCCAGAACUAAGAGCCUCCACUCUAAUAAGCAGAAUCUCUGGCCCUUCAUGAUCCGGCAAUGCCGAUUAACGAACCAAGUUACUCCAGGGAUAACAGCGCCAUCCUCUUUCAGAGUCCCCAUCGACAAGAGGGUUUACGACCUCGAUGUUGGAUCAGGACAUCCUAAUGGUGCAGCCGCUAUUAAGGGUUCGUUUGUUCAACGAUUAAUAGUCCUACGUGAUCU
rnacentral:rRNA from 1 species